GAUGAACGCUGGCUACAGGCUUAACACAUGCAAGUCGAGGGGAAACGCCGGGGAAGCUUGCUUCCCCGGGCGUCGACCGGCGCACGGGUGAGUAACGCGUAUCCAACCUGCCUCUGACUGAGGGAUAACCCGUCGAAAGUCGGCCUAAUACCUCAUGGCAUCGUCUGCGGGCAUCCAACGACGAUUAAAGAUUUCAUCGGUCAGGGAUGGGGAUGCGUCUGAUUAGCUAGUUGGCGGGGUAACGGCCCACCAAGGCGACGAUCAGUAGGGGUUCUGAGAGGAAGGUCCCCCACAUUGGAACUGGGACACGGUCCAAACUCCUACGGGAGGCAGCAGUGAGGAAUAUUGGUCAAUGGGCGAGAGCCUGAACCAGCCAAGUAGCGUGCAGGAUGACGGCCCUAGGGGUUGUAAACUGCUUUUAUGCGGGGAUAAAGUGAGGGACGUGUCCUUCAUUGCAGGUACCGCAUGAAUAAGGACCGGCUAAUUCCGUG
rnacentral:rRNA from 1 species